CCUACGGGAGGCAGCAGUGGGGAAUAUUGGACAAUGGGCGCAAGCCUGAUCCAGCCAUGCCGCGUGAGUGAAGAAGGCCUUCGGGUUGUAAAGCUCUUUCGGCCGGGAAGAAAUCGUGUGGGCUAAUAUCCCACAUGGAUGACGGUACCGGAAUAAGAAGCACCGGCUAACUACGUGCCAGCAGCCGCGGUAAUACGUAGGGUGCGAGCGUUAAUCGGAAUUACUGGGCGUAAAGCGUGCGCAGGCGGUUUUUUAAGAUAGGCGUGAAAUCCCCGGGCUUAACCUGGGAACUGCGCUUAUGACUGGAAGACUAGAGUACGGCAGAGGGGGGUGGAAUUCCACGUGUAGCAGUGAAAUGCGUAGAGAUGUGGAGGAACACCGAUGGCGAAGGCAGCCCCCUGGGUCGAUACUGACGCUCAUGCACGAAAGCGUGGGGAGCAAACAGGAUUAGAUACCCUGGUAGUCCACGCCCUAAACGAUGUCAACUAGUUGUUGGUAGGGUAAAACCUAUUAGUAACGUAGCUAACGCGUGAAGUUGACCGCCUGGGGAGUACGGCCGCAAGGUUAAAACUCAAAGGAAUUGACGG
rnacentral:rRNA from 1 species